GAUGCAAAAGAAGACGCCGGUAGCCAACUGACAACAACUUGAACAAGUACUUGUUUCUGUUUAUUUAACGAGACAAACACAAUCAAGGAGUUAUGAACGUAUAGAUACUCGAGGAAAUAAUACAGCAGUACAUUGUAUUACAACAAAUGGACAGAGGAGUUGACUAUUGAUAGUGACUGAUAAUGGACUGGAGUAACCUAGCGUCCAAUGACUCUGAACAUGCCUGACAGUACUGGCAUUUGUACAUGUAUGUCGACAGCCAAUUCUAAGUAACCUUAAACGUAUACAUUGUAUAUACAAAAGACCUACAAUAAUGAUUGAAAAUAGCUCAUGAGAUGUCAGUGGAAUGGAAGUAAUACACAUCAUAUGUUUCAAUGAAAUUAACAUGAUUAAUGAUGGGAUAAGACGUAGAGGAGAUCCUAUAGCUACAGUACAUGUACAUGUAACUGCAAAUGUAUUCCAAGAGUUUAUGGCUGAUUAUGCAACUACAGGAUUUUAUCAUUGAAGCAACAUCUUAGAAGGAUAAGUGCAAAUGUAUGAAGGAAGCCUUGUGUACAAAUACAUGUAGCAAUUACAUGCAGGAGAGAACACUUAAACAUUACUAACAUGUUGUCAUGAUAUUGGAGUGGUGCAUUCUAGAAAUCUAAACACCUGGAAUUAAAUAUUGUGUAUAUUUUUUUUCAACCACAAGUACUUUCAGCAUAUAAUACAAUUCAUAUUCAAAUUAUUGUGUCAACAUGACAGUUACUGUCUAAAAAUGGAAAAUGCUUGUUUUAAAAUGAAUUUUAUAUAAAUAUUUUAAAUAACAAGAA